rnacentral:lncRNA from 1 species
CGCGGCGGGCGGGGACGGGGCGGGGCCUCUCCGGGAGGCCGAGGCGGGGAGCCCGGCUGGCGCGGCGGAGGCGGAGAGGGGGCGGGGAGGCGGCGGAACCAGGGCCGCUCCCCUCCGCUCCGCCCCCUCGCGGAGGCUCCGCUUCUCCCGGCCCCACCCCGCGGGCGCGGCUCCAGCCAACCAGGAGCCAGCCGAUCUGCAUAAACGCGCCGAGGCCACGCCCCCGCCCCGCCCCGCGCCUCGCGGUCAGAAUGGUCGCUAACGCCGCCACGACGUGGCGGGAAGGAAAAGGCGCCAAAACGGAGGGGGAGGGGCGCCAGGCGUGCGGGGAGGCGGGAGCUGGGUGGCGCGCGCGGCCGGAGAGGAAGGAUGCGAAGGGAGGAGGAAGGAGGGAGGGAGGAGGGAGGAGGGAGGGGCGUAUCGAUUCAAACCCAAACAAUAACAAAGCCAUCAAAGGCCGCCCGAGGCCAGCUCCGCCGGCUCGGGGUUUCUCCGGGAUCGGGGGGUGUGUGUCGGGGCGGGGGCGGGGGCCGCAGCCGGAGCCGGAGCCGGAGCCGGAGCCGGAGCGUAGCGAGUUUGCGAGUCAGGCAAGGGCGUUGUUGCGGAGGCCGUACGGAGGGACCGCGUGUGUGCGUGUGUGGACGCCGAUCAGGGUGGUCCUCCGGUGUGACUCAGCCCCCAGACCUCCAAGGCUGCCGGGGCGCGGUGACGACGACGCUCCGUGGGCCGUGCUGGGGGUGGUGGCUGUGUUUUGGGGGGCGAAGGCUGUGCAGACAUGCCUACAUGACCAUAAGCAGGCCCCACCAUGCCCACCUUUCACCCAAUAGUUACUGAUGGACGAGAAAGAAUAUGACCCAAAAAUCAUGAUUAAAAUCAGUUUAUGAAGCUGAGUGUUGGUUGCAAAUGCCUUUAAUCCCAGCCCUCGGGAGACAGAGACAGGCGGAUCUCUGUGAGUUCAAGACCAGCCUGGUCUACAAGAGCUAUUUCCAGGACAGCCUCCAAAGCCACAGAGAAACCCUGUCUCAGAAAAGAAAAGAAAAAAUCAAUUUAUGAACCAGAUAUAGUGGCUCAUACCUAUAACCCCAGCACUUGAAAGGC